rnacentral:tRNA from 1 species
UAAAAACUUAAGUUAAACCAAACUAAGAGCCUUCAAAGCUCAAAAUAAGGGUAGAACCCCCUUAGUUUUU